AUUGAACGCUGGCGGAAUGCUUUACACAUGCAAGUCGAACGGCAGCACGGGGCAACCUGGUGGCGAGUGGCGAACGGGUGAGUAAUACAUCGGAACGUGCCCAAUCGUGGGGGAUAACGUAGCGAAAGUUACGCUAAUACCGCAUACGAUCUACGGAUGAAAGCGGGGGAUCGCAAGACCUCGCGCGAAUGGAGCGGCCGAUGUCAGAUUAGGUAGUUGGUGGGGUAAAGGCUCACCAAGCCAACGAUCUGUAGCUGGUCUGAGAGGACGACCAGCCACACUGGAACUGAGACACGGCCCAGACUCCUACGGGAGGCAGCAGUGGGGAAUUUUGGACAAUGGGCGCAAGCCUGAUCCAGCAAUGCCGCGUGCAGGAUGAAGGCC
rnacentral:rRNA from 1 species